UUACAGGAGCUGAAGUGUCACCCUUGUGACACACAAAGGUCCAAGGAACGAUGUCUUGCUGUCCCACCUUACUGCUGAUUUGUGCUCUGGCAGUGCUGCAGGGCCUUGAUGCACGGGGUGAGCUCUGCCCAGGGCCAGCACCUGGCUGCCUGACAAGAGCUGUGAGCUGUGAUGUUCACAUUGUGCCUUGGCACGUUUCUGAGAGGACAGCAGAGGAGCUCUUCUGUGCUGUCCCUCACCUAAGCUUAGGCCAGGUAAGGAUAAACCCCAUCUCCAUAGAAUCACAGAGUAGUAGAACGGCCUGGGUUGGAAGGGACCUUAAAGACCAUCUUGCUUUAAAUCUGCUGACAAGGGCCGCAACACCUUCCACUAGACCAGGUAGCACAAAGCCCUUCCAACCUGUUCUUGUGUAUUUCCAGGGAUGGGGCAUCCACAGCUUCUCUGGGCAACCUGUUCCAGAGUCUCACCACCCUCACAGUAAAGAAUUUCUUCCUUAUGUUUAACCUAAACCUUCUCUCCAUCUUAAAGCCAUUCUCCCUUCUCCUAUCCCUUUAUGCCCUUGUAAACAGUCCCUCUCCAGUUCUCUUAGAGCCCCUUUAGGUACUGGAAGGUGCUCUGAAGUCUCCACCAAAUCCUCUCCAGGCCGGACAACCCCAGCUCUCCCAAUCUGUCUCCCGAGAGGUGCUCCAGCUCUCUGAUCCUCUUGGUCUCCUCUGGCCUCGCUCCAGCAGCUCCACGUCGUGCCUGCGCUGCGGCCCCGAGCUGGACGCUGUACUGCCGGUGGGCUCUCGGGAGAGCGGAGCAGAGAAGCAGAGGGCUCCGCGGCCCCGCUGUUGUUACUGUCACCAUUGCGGUACUGCUGUGCUCUGCGGGCAGCUCUCCCCGGCCCAGCACCGUCUUUCCGCGGCCCCGCUGUUGUUACUGUCACCACUGCGGUACAGCUGUGCUCUGAGGGCAGCUCUCCGCGGCCCCGCUGUUGUUACUGUCACCAUUGCGGUAUUGCUGUGCUCUGCGGGCAGCUCUCCCCGGCCCGACACCGUCUCUCACGUGGCCGCGUGCGCCGGCGUGCCCGUGACGUUACGGCGCGCCCGCCCCGCGUGACGUCAGCGCGAUGGCGGGGGAGGCGGCGGCGCUGCUGGCGGCGGCGCGGGCGGAGCUGCGGGCGCGGCGGCUCUCGGCGGCCGAGGAGCUCUUCAGCCGCUUCAUCGCCCUCAGUCCCGCGGGUGCCCGCAGCGACCUCGCCACGGCGCUCAAUGACCGCGGGCAGGUGCGGUACCUGCGCGUGGAGUUCGCCGCCGCUGUGCAGGACUUCACGGCCGCCAUCGAGUGCCAGCCCGGCUUCGAGGUGCCCUACUACAACCGCGGGCUGGUGCGCUACCGGCUGGGAGACUUUGAUGAGGCCAUGAAAGAUUUCAGGAAAGUAUUAGAGUUAAACCCCCAAUUUGAAGAUGCUGCAUUGAGUCUAAAACAGGCUAUUCUUGACAAAGAAGAAAAAGAGAAGCGGGGUUAUUGAAAUUCAGGUUGCGAUGUGAUGUGAAAAUAUUCUGCUAAACAUGUGAGUUUUGUCAUUGAUGGAUGAAACACAAGAUCAUUUACAUCUGUUAUGACCUGCUGAAGAACUUCAUUCUUAGAGUUUACCAUAGAAAAUAUUCACAGGAGGAAUUGUGGCUUUCUCUUCCUUAUUAAGGAGAUCAAUUCCCUGAAGAAUACAGUGUGAAAUCCAUCUGAUGGAGCUGGCUGUGAACACCCAGGCAGCUUCAUUUCUCACAUGGUAGGAGGGACCAUUACUGAAAUCUGUAAAUCAUCAGUAAGGAACACUUGCAAGUUCAUAGCAACACAAGUUCUAAUAAAAUAAAUACUCUCUGCUGA